rnacentral:rRNA from 1 species
UACAGAGGGGCAAGCGUUGUUCGGAAUUACUGGCGUAAAGGGCGCGUAGGCGGCCUGCUAAGUCGAACGUGAAUCCCGGGCUCAACCGGAACUGCGUCCGAUACUGGCAGGCUUGAAUCCGGGAGAGGGAUGUGGAAUUCCAGGUGUAGCGGUGAAUGACGUAGAUAUCGAGAGGAACACCUGCGGCGAAGGCGGGUUGCUGGCUGACACUGACGCUGAUGCGCGAAAGCUAGGGGAGCGAACGGG